AUAUAAACAGAGUAAAACAGUUCCUCUGUUUAUGAGCUCCUUAUUGUUGAACUCUGUAACAUUGUGAUCGCAAGCGCUAUAGUAAAUCUGCAACACCUGCGUCGAUAGUAGCCGUGUUCCCUCUGCCCGUUAACCUCGCCGAGUAUCUGCACUGUGUAUUUUCCUAGCAUUGGGCACUACCCCUGCGUAUGUAUAACCAUUAUAGACUGCACACAUUGAUGUUCUUGUGUAUCUUGACUGCCCCAUACUGACAAAGCUGUACUGUGAUAUUAGGAGACUCCAUCUUGUGGAGAGCACUGGAGUUCCUCAAACAUGUUUCUCCUUCUCUCGAAGCCGUCUGUUGUCACCAUGCUGCCGUCCAGUAGCCUCGCCACACGAGAAGGGUUCAAUGCCAGUCGGCCUGGACGAGUCACGCUUCUGCACGCACAUUGCGACAGUAUUGCGGUGCUGAGGGACAGCCUCUGAUUCGGCAUUUCCGAAACACACCUUUGGUUAUCGCGGCUGUGAUGCACCCCAGUUUACCUGAACAAUGUUGUUCUUGACACUGUGGCGAGGGUAUUGCACGACUUGUGCUUUUCCCGAUGAGCAGCGGAGCCCUUGUAUGGCGCAGCGAUGUAGCAUGGCCAUUGUGGCACGUCUUGGCUGUGCACUAAGUACAGUCGGACCCUGAUGUGACCAGAAUAUAACGAGCACGGAUAAAAUGAAUUAUUGGAUGUAGUGGAGUAAAUCUUAAAUAUUCCUUGCUGACAUCACUAUGUAGCGAAUACAUGCUUAUAUGAAAUAUCGGAUAUAAUGAAGGUAUUUUCAUGUCUGGUGUGGUUUUGUUAAAAUGAGGUUUGAUCAUGUGACAGAUGCGAAAAGUGAUGUAAAAGCAAAUUAUGUUCAUUCUCCCAUAGCAGAUUUUGCACACUGUGCCGGCCCACUUUCAUAUCCGUAAGGUGAGCUGUGUACUAAUGUAAUCCAGGGUUCGACAGAACACUGUCUGGUCAGGUAGAAGCAUCUUCGGUAUAUCAGGUCACUGACCAAGCUUGAGGUUUCGGGAUCUGAGCAGAUCCCGAAAUGUCAAGCUUUGCGUGUCUCACAUUGGUCAGUGACCUGUUGUACUGAAGAUUAGUUGUAAUGUUGACCUGUAUCAACCGGCUUGCUAUUAUCUGCCGAUGCAGCGAGGUGCUGCUAGAACAUUGCUUCACCAGUCUCGCUGAGUUUGUCGAUAAUGCCAGGAAUAUAAGAGAGGCUUUAAUCUCAACCCCAGCUGUAAAAUGCAAGGGCUUUGCUGCAACAUCAAAUUUACGUGCUGCACUGGCAGUUUUUUCAGUGGGCUUUCAACCGGUUUCUAUGGACUCUUUGCUGUCACGUAUGAUUGGUGCUGCUGUCAUGCAUUUUGGAGCACUCCCUCGCAAUGCCACUACUGUACCUAUUAGUGCGCAUUUGUGGUAUGUGUGUUGCAUGAAUAUGUGUGUGCAUGUGGCCGUAAUGUAUAACGGUAGGCUUGCAUGUGCGUGCAUGCAAUGAAAGCAGUGUUACGUCAAUGCCAUCUCUUUUGUCCGAUGAGAAUUCUUUUUGUUGACCCACUGCCUUGCAUGUUUUGAUAUGAACAAGCACUGUUCGAGGAGCUCGUGCAGCAUGUCGCUUGUCUUGUUUUGUUAAUCAAGGAGGCAUUCACAUAGUACUGUUGCUGAGGUAAAUCACUGUUAUGUACUUUCCUCUAUUAGAGGGGCCCUGCCACACUUAAAGUUGAUGAACAAAACAACCCAUCUGGUCACUCGUUCGUUGUCUCCUCGACAACUGAGCCAAAUGUACUGUGCCUUUGCACAUGGCACAUGCAAAUUUGCAUCUGUAUGUUGGAGACAUUCCUGUGGAGCAUAGGGCCAUAGAGAGGAUUUUGCAUGUCAUGAAAAAUGACGAUUAUAGUGAAAACAUUGUAGUGACAAAAUCAAUGGAAACACUUGCAGAAAUAAACCCAAUAUGCAAUACAUUGAAAAAAAAAAA
rnacentral:lncRNA from 1 species